GGGGGCGUGGUCAAGCGCCCGUCCGGGAGAGAAAAGCGGUAAGGGCGCUUACACCUGAGCUAAAUUAUGUCUAACACCUGUGUCUAAUUGCAGUAAGCAUGGGGAGAGCAGCAUAAAAGAGCAGCAGCCACAGGGCCUCGAGAGAGAGAGUGCCUACACCCAGACCAGCAGUUACAGAGAAAGCAACAUGCACCUGUGGGGCAGUGCUGCAUGCAGAGUGUGCAGCCACACAGAUGUGCUACAUAUGUCAAGUUGGCACUGACCUGUUAUCCUUACCCUCUAAAUCUGCAGAAGACUCUCCACCACAACAGGGCGGAGCAUUGAAAGAAUGAAAAUAAAUCUGCAAAACAUUGGUCCUGAAUCGGAGCUGGAUUUGGUAACUCACCGCUUUGGGCCCACAGCGGCUGAUGUUUUCUUUUCCUUUUUAGAGGACUGUUUGAAAUGAACUCAGUGCCC